CCUUUGCAGGCUUGAGCAGUACAGCAGUACGUGAAUAAGAAAAAUAAUUUCAAGUGCUCCAGGAAAAUUGCAGCUGUGUCCUUACAGCUUGUGUCUCCAGCCUGUACGCCCCAGCAGCCAUGGCACGAGGCCGUCCCAUCUGCAACGGGCAGCUCUGUUCGGAUGCUUCCCUCUGUCAGCGCUGAGCACAACAAAGCCCUUACAGCAGUGUGGGACCAGAGAUGUUUCAUUUAUCCCACGGGCUGUUGAACUGCUGGCACCAGCCAGAUAGACAGAGCUGAUGUUGGAUGUCUGAAUUUUAGAUUUGCAAAGAAAAAAAGGUGAAAAAUGCUGACUGUAAGAAAUCCCUCUGGUAACAGUAAGAUUCUGCAUGCCAACAGGUCAGGCUGACCUAAGAAGCAGUCUGGAGGAUUUUGUGGAUUAUUGGCAUCUUCAGCCCUACAUGAGCCACUCAAGAUCAUUUUAAUAGGCUCACUGCAUUAGAUGAUACUGCUUGACUGCAGGGCAUGUUACAGGUACUGCAGCAACAAGCAGCCCAGUGGUUUGCUCUUGUCAACUUCCCAUCCUUGUUAGGAGCUCUGACAUACCCAAUUCCAAGUGGCUCUAGAUAGUUAUUUCCACUCCCCCAGAAACUGAAGUCGUCAAAGAAUAGCUAAAUAUUUUAACUCAGGCAUCUUCAAAUAUGCUAUUUCCAUCCCUGGAUCUUUUGACUAAAUCUGGGUUUUGCAUUUCACUUGGUUUUUUUUGUUCCAUUUCUUGGCUGAGAAACAUCUGGGCUCACAAGACAAAAGCAGAACUCACUGGUGAGACUGUGGUCAUGGGAGAAAUGCUGACUGCACGUGCAUGUCCUCAGCUAUAAUUAAAUACCCUAAAAUGUAACUACUACAAAAACACUGCUGCCAGCUGUUUUUCCCUAACACUCGGUUGAGUUACAGUCAAAGCUCUGAAAACCGGGAGUUGAGGAAUUUAUCACUGACCUCUGCAAUGCCCUUCAAAGCGUUCUGCACAGGGCUCCAUGUGGGAUGUGAGCACAGUGCUGAGACCCAUGCUUCUGCACCUGGCUGGGCCGCUCUGAAGGCCACAGGGUCAGCGGCAGUGGGCUGGCUGAGCAUCCGCCACAAGUCAGUGGAAACAGACUUCUAGUGCCAAGCCAUUGAAAGCAUGGAAAGUAAUCAAAUGCUUGGAGUGAUGUGGAGAAACAAAUACGCUCAACAGGUAGCUCUAUUUCUAUUUUGAAGUUCCUAUUUUUGUCACAACCACCCUGCGGGUAGUUCUGCUAGCUUUUUCCAAUACACUCAGGAUGUACCAUAAGUGGACAACCUUCACAGAUUCACUGGCUCUUAAGACAGCAAACUAAGAGAAGUCCUAUCAAACACUUCAGUGACAUUUUCAAGGCAGUAAGGAUGACAGAUCUGAACACAGCUUGCUGGGCUAAUCCUGAUACAAUGUUAGCAGUUGUGAGUCUCAGAUCUUGCCAAAACAUAUCAUUUCAGGGUUUUCUGGAAGGCUCCUAUCAUCAUUAAUGUAUUUUAAUGCUGCUGCAGAAGUUGUCAUUAAUCUUUCUCAUAAGAUUCAUCUUUCUAUAAGAUGCCCACAGCUUAAAGCAUCCCUAUGUUAGGGUAAAAAUGUAUUCACAGCCCUUCUUAGGAACUGCCCAGUCUGUUUGUGAUCAGGCAAAGCUCCCAGAACCAAACCAACUGUAACUAACAGCAUCAAGUGCUGGUGUCUGUAUAACAGCCACUCAGAUGUAUAUUCUAUGAGCCAGAUCAUCCC
rnacentral:lncRNA from 7 species